UGGGGAAUUUUGGACAAUGGGCGCAAGCCUGAUCCAGCCAUUCCGCGUGCAGGACGAAGGCCUUCGGGUUGUAAACUGCUUUUGUACGGAACGAAAAGGCUCUGGCUAAUACCUGGGGCUCAUGACGGUACCGUAAGAAUAAGCACCGGCUAACUACGUGCCAGCAGCCGCGGAAAUACGUAGGGUGCAAGCGUUAAUCGGAAUUACUGGGCGUAAAGCGUGCGCAGGCGGUUAUGUAAGACAGAGGUGAAAUCCCCGGGCUCAACCUGGGAACUGCCGUUGUGACUGCAUAGCUGGAGUACGGCAGAGGGGGAUGGAAUUCCGCGUGUAGCAGUGAAAUGCGUAGAUAUGCGGAGGAACACCGAUGGCGAAGGCAAUCCCCUGGGCCUGUACUGACGCUCAUGCACGAAAGCGUGGGGAGCAAACA
rnacentral:rRNA from 1 species